UACGUAGGGGGCUAGCGUUGUCCGGAAUCAUUGGGCGUAAAGAGCGUGUAGGCGGCCCGGUAAGUCCGCUGUGAAAGUCGGGGGCUCAACCCUCGAAUGCCGGUGGAUACUGUCGGGCUAGAGUGCGGAAGAGGCGAGUGGAAUUCCUGGUGUAGCGGUGAAAUGCGCAGAUAUCAGGAGGAACACCAAUCGCGAAGGCAGCUCGCUGGGACGUAACUGACGCUGAGACGCGAAAGCGUGGGGAGCAAACAGG
rnacentral:rRNA from 1 species